GCCUUCACCGGUAGUCGCUGUGAAAUUGAAGUAUAGUUUGCGCUAUUCCAAUGGACAGUGCAAACUAUACUUCAAUUUCACAGCGACCACUGGUGAAGGC
rnacentral:pre_miRNA from 1 species